AUUGAACGCUGGCGGCAGGCCUAACACAUGCAAGUCGAACGAUUGGCGGAAGGGUGAGUCAUGUCUGGGAAACAGCCUGAUGGAGGGGGAUAACUACUGGACACGGUAGCUCAUACCGCAUACCAUCGGAUGUGCCAAGAAGGGAUUAGCUCGUGGGUGGGGUAAAGGCUCACCUCGGCGACGAUCCCUAGCUGGUCUGAGAGGAUGACCGGCCACACUGGAACUGAGACACGGUCCAGACUCCUACGGGAGGCAGCAGUGGGGAAUAUUUCACAAUGGGCGCAAGCCUGAUGCAGCCAUGCCGCGUGUAUGAAGAAGGCCUUCGGGUUGUAAAGUACUUUCAGCAGGGAGGCGUUACCCGCAGAGGAAGCACCGGCUAACUCCGUGCCAGCGGCCGCGGUAAUAC
rnacentral:rRNA from 1 species